CCUACGGGGGGCAGCAGUGAGGAAUAUUGGUCAAUGGCCGGAAGGCUGAACCAGCCAUGCCGCGUGAAGGUCAGUGCCCUAUGGGCGUUAAACUUCUUUUGUGCGGGAGCAAUAAUGGUCACGUGUGGCCAGACGAGAGUACCGUACGAAUAAGCAUCGGCUAACUCCGUGCCAGCAGCCGCGGUAAUACGGGGGGUGCAAGCGUUAUCCGGAUUUAUUGGGUUUAAAGGGUGCGUAGGCUGUGAGGUAAGUCAGCGGUGAAAUGCCCCCGCUCAACGGGGUGAAGUGCCAUUGAUACUGCCUGGCUGGAAUGCGGAUGCCGUGGGAGGAAUGUGUGGUGUAGCGGUGAAAUGCAUAGAUAUCACACAGAACACCGAUUGCGAAGGCAUCUCACGAAUCCGCGAUUGACGCUGAUGCACGAAAGCGUGGGUAUCAAACAGGAUUAGAUACCCGAGUAGUC
rnacentral:rRNA from 1 species